UUUUGACAGAUAGUUCAGUAUUAAGAAACAUGUUCAAGACACAAGUAUCUUUCAUAAUAAUAUUCGGCUUGCUGGUCGUAAGUUUGGCAUACAAAAUAGGCAGAGAAGUUAAAGAUGGUAUACCCGAUGGCUUAGAUACAGAGCCUUUUCUAAAGAUUGGUAAAGGAUUAUACUAUAUAGAAACAAAA